UACGUAGGGGGCUAGCGUUGUCCGGAAUCAUUGGGCGUAAAGAGCGUGUAGGCGGCCCGGUAAGUCCGCUGUAAAAGUCAAAGGCUCAACCUUUGAAUGUCAGUGGAUACUGCCGGGCUAGAGUCCGGAAGAGGCGAGUGGAACUCCUGGUGUAGCGGUGGAAUGCGCAGAUAUCAGGAAGAGCACCAACGGCGAAGGCAGCUCGCUGGGACGGUACUGACGCUGAGACGCGAAAGCGUGGGGAGCGAACAGG
rnacentral:rRNA from 1 species